rnacentral:rRNA from 1 species
GCUUGCUACUAGUACCGUAGCUAACGCAUUAAGUAUACCGCCUGGGGAGUACGGCCGCAAGGCUUAAACUCAAAGAAAUUGACGGGGGCCCGCACAAGCGGUGGAGCAUGUGGUUUAAUUCGAUGGUACGCGAAGAAUCUUACCUGGGCUUGAACUGUGCAUGACAGGUAUAGAGAUAUAUUUUUCCUUCGGGACAUGUACAGAGGUGCUGCAUGGUUGUCGUCAGCUCGUGUCGUGAGAUGUUGGGUUAAGUCCCGCAACGAGCGCAACCCUUACUCCUUGUUGCUAUCAGGUAAUGCUGGGCACUCUAGGGGGACUGCCGGUUACAAGCCGGAGGAAGGUGGGGAUGACGUCAAAUCAUCACGGCCCUUAUGUCCAGGGCUACACACGUGCUACAAUGGCCGGUACAAUGAGACGCGAUGCCGCGAGGUGGAGCAAAUCUCAAAAAACCGGUCUCAGUUCGGAUUGGAGUCUGCAACUCGACUCCAUGAAGUUGGAAUCGCUAGUAAUCGUGGAUCAGCACGCCACGGUGAAUACGUUCCCGGGCCUUGUACACACCGCCCGUCACACCACCCGAGUUAGCAGCGCCCGAAAUGGCUGAUCUAACCCGCAAGGGAUGAAGGUUAUGAAGGUGAAGCUGGUAAGGGGGGUGAAGUCGUAACAAGGUAGCCG